UACGGAGGGUCCAAGCGUUAUCCGGAAUCAUUGGGUUUAAAGGGUGCGCGGCGGUAAAGUAAGUCAGUGGUGAAAUCUCUCGGCUCGACCGAGAAACUGCCAUUGAUACUGCUAUACUUGAAUAUAGUCGAAGUGGGCGGAAUGUGACAUGUAGCGGUGAAAUGCUUAGAUAUGUCACAGAACACCGAUAGCGAAGGCAGCUCACUAGACUAACAUUGACGCUCAUGCACGAAAGCGUGGGGAGCAAACAGG
rnacentral:rRNA from 1 species